UACAAUAGAGCUUAUAGGCUAAUGAGAAGACAGGAAGAAACAACAGGAACACAUAUAGCUGGAAUGCAGAUGGGAUCUGUGCUACUUACGCUAGCCAUGGGAUGAUUAGAACAAGAUAAGAGACAUGAGGAAGACUUCUUCAAGGAGGUGCUCAAGCCAUGUUUUGGAAAAGAGAACUCAAGGAAGACUGAAGAAACCUAAUCCUAGGUGCUGCCACUGGGACAAACAAGAAGCACCAGACACAGUGCUGUUUUAGGGUGGGGCAGAAUUAUGCUGAGGGAAAAGUUAUUAUCACUCUUUAAGGCCAAGGAAACCACAAUUUUUAAAGAAGCUUCUAGAAAUUCUACCCAGUAGAAAAUAAAGAUAAACUUCUGUAAG
rnacentral:lncRNA from 1 species